UACGAAGGGGGCUAGCGUUGCUCGGAAUCACUGGGCGUAAAGCGCACGUAGGCGGCUUUCUAAGUCAGGGGUGAAAUCCUGGAGCUCAACUCCAGAACUGCCUUUGAUACUGGGAAGCUUGAGUCCGGAAGAGGUGAGUGGAACUGCGAGUGUAGAGGUGAAAUUCGUAGAUAUUCGCAAGAACACCAGUGGCGAAGGCGGCUGACUGGUCCGGUUCUGACGCUGAGGCACGAAAGCGUGGGGAGCAAACAGG
rnacentral:rRNA from 1 species